AGACGUUUGGCCGAGUGGUCUAAGGCGCCAGAUUUAGGGCUUUGGUUUGAAAGGGCGUGGGUUCAAAUCCCACAGCCUGUC
rnacentral:tRNA from 1 species